rnacentral:misc_RNA from 1 species
GCAAUUCCGCGUCGGUUGUCGUGGGGUGGGACGGCGCCUCAGGGGCUGGUUCUUGUGCCGCCUACCCCCUCAAGGGAAGCGAGGCCGCUUGCACUUAGCCUCCGUCCGGCGCCUUCUGACGGGCGCGGGAGGACAGCGAAGCACCCCCGUGUUCCACCGAACCUUACCCGGCCGCGUGGCCCGCGGGGAAGUGCGGUGCUCUUGGACCCAGCGCACGCCGCGGACGGGGACUCGUUCCCCGGUCGUGAGAGCUGCUCCGGUAUGAAACGUGCGACGUCCGCGCCCGCCCCUCGAGGACCGCCCCCGGCGGCGCGAGGGCGGCGCGCGGCGUCUGGAGGACGCUACCCUGGUUGAUCUGCAGUAGUCAUAUGCUGUCU